rnacentral:tRNA from 1 species
CGGAGAGGUGGCAGAGUGGUUGAAUGUACCUGACUCGAAAUCAGGCAGGCGUUUAUAGCGCCUCGGGGGUUCGAAUCCCCCCCUCUCCGGCC